rnacentral:rRNA from 1 species
GACGAACGCUGGCGGCGUGCUUAACACAUGCAAGUCGAACGAUGAAGCCCUUCGGGGUGGAUUAGUGGCGAACGGGUGAGUAACACGUGGGCAAUCUGCCCUUCACUCUGGGACAAGCCCUGGAAACGGGGUCUAAUACCGGAUAACAUUUCUGCCCGCAUGGGUGGGGGUUAAAAGCUCCGGCGGUGAAGGAUGAGCCCGCGGCCUAUCAGCUUGUUGGUGAGGUAGUGGCUCACCAAGGCGACGACGGGUAGCCGGCCUGAGAGGGCGACCGGCCACACUGGGACUGAGACACGGCCCAGACUCCUACGGGGGGCAGCAGUGGGGAAUAUUGCACAAUGGGCGAAAGCCUGAUGCAGCGACGCCGCGUGAGGGAUGACGGCCUUCGGGUUGUAAACCUCUUUCAGCAGGGAAGAAGCGAAAGUGACGGUACCUGCAGAAGAAGCGCCGGCUAACUACGUGCCAGCAGCCGCGGUAAUACGUAGGGCGCAAGCGUUGUCCGGAAUUAUUGGGCGUAAAGAGCUCGUAGGCGGCUUGUCACGUCGGGUGUGAAAGCCCGGGGCUUAACCCCGGGUCUGCAUUCGAUACGGGCUAGCUAGAGUGUGGUAGGGGAGAUCGGAAUUCCUGGUGUAGCGGUGAAAUGCGCAGAUAUCAGGAGGAACACCGGUGGCGAAGGCGGAUCUCUGGGCCAUUACUGACGCUGAGGAGCGAAAGCGUGGGGAGCGAACAGGAUUAGAUACCCUGGUAGUCCACGCCGUAAACGGUGGGAACUAGGUGUUGGCGACAUUCCACGUCGUCGGUGCCGCAGCUAACGCAUUAAGUUCCCCGCCUGGGGAGUACGGCCGCAAGGCUAAAACUCAAAGGAAUUGACGGGGGCCCGCACAAGCAGCGGAGCAUGUGGCUUAAUUCGACGCAACGCGAAGAACCUUACCAAGGCUUGACAUACACCGGAAACGGCCAGAGAUGGUCGCCCCCUUGUGGUCGGUGUACAGGUGGUGCAUGGCUGUCGUCAGCUCGUGUCGUGAGAUGUUGGGUUAAGUCCCGCAACGAGCGCAACCCUUGUUCUGUGUUGCCAGCAUGCCCUUCGGGGUGAUGGGGACUCACAGGAGACUGCCGGGGUCAACUCGGAGGAAGGUGGGGACGACGUCAAGUCAUCAUGCCCCUUAUGUCUUGGGCUGCACACGUGCUACAAUGGCAGGUACAAAGAGCUGCGAAGCCGCGAGGCGGAGCGAAUCUCAAAAAGCCUGUCUCAGUUCGGAUUGGGGUCUGCAACUCGACCCCAUGAAGUCGGAGUUGCUAGUAAUCGCAGAUCAGCAUUGCUGCGGUGAAUACGUUCCCGGGCCU